rnacentral:rRNA from 1 species
CUUGCGCUCCCUGGUAUUCCGGGGAGCACGCCUGUUUGAGUGUCAUGGUAUUCUCAACCUUCAUAACUUUUGUUAUGGAAGGCUUGGAUUUGGAGGUUGUGCUGGCUCUCGUUAGUCGGCUCCUCUUAAAUGCAUUAGCGUGAACGUUUGCCGAUCGCUAUCAGUGUGAUAAUUAUCUGCGCUGUUAGUGUUGAAGCAUCAUUAGUGUCGCGCUUCUAACCGUCCUUCACGGGACAAUUUACUUUGACAUCUGACCUCAAAUCAGGCGGGACUACCCGCUGAACUUAAGCAUAUCAAUAAGCGGAGGA